ACGGGAGGCAGCAGUGGGGAAUAUUGCACAAUGGGGGAAACCCUGAUGCAGCGACGCCGCGUGAGUGAAGAAGUAUUUCGGUAUGUAAAGCUCUAUCAGCAAGGAAGAAAAUGACGGUACUUGACUAAGAAGCCCCGGCUAACUACGUGCCAGCAGCCGCGGUAAUACGUAGGGGGCAAGCGUUAUCCGGAUUUACUGGGUGUAAAGGGCGCGUAGGCGGGAAAGCAAGUCAGAUGUGAAAUCUCUGGGCUCAACCCAGAAACUGCAUUUGAAACUGUUUUUCUUGAGUGUCGGAGAGGUAAACGGAAUUCCUAGUGUAGCGGUGAAAUGCGUAGAUAUUAGGAGGAACACCAGUGGCGAAGGCGGUUUACUGGACGAUAACUGACGCUGAGGCGCGAAAGCGUGGGGAGCAAACAGGAUUAGAUACCCUGGUA
rnacentral:rRNA from 1 species